GUGUAAAAUUAUUUCCUACAAAACUAAUAAUGCAACAUAAAUAGAAUAAUAAAUAAUUAACUUUAAUAUUUAUUUUCUUUACUAAUUUGAAAUCAUCCUGAAGAAAUUUACACGAAAAGGAAAGAUUGAUCAAAGAAUUCGUUCAACAACUCAAGAAAAUUAUCAAGGAUGUGCAUUUUGAUAGCCAGCGGAUACACAGAGCAAUUGAAAGCGUAGAGGAUCGACCAAAGCAGAAUUGGUACGAUACACCCUGCGGGUGGAACACCUACGACUCUGUGAUACGGCAGGCCACAAUUUUCAUGCCAAAUAUGUCAGUUAAAAUUACGGUUGUGCGUAGUUAUC